UACGUAGGGGGCAAGCGUUGUCCGGAUUUACUGGGCGUAAAGAGCGCGUAGGCGGAAGCUUAAGUGUGGCCUGAAAGCCCCCGGCUCAACCGGGGAGGGCGGCUGCAAACUGGGCUUCUUGAGGGCGACAGAGGAGAGUGGAAUUCCGGGUGUAGCGGUGAAAUGCGUAGAUAUCCGGAGGAACACCAAUGGCGAAGGCAGCUCUCUGGGUCGGCCCUGACGCUGAGGCGCGAAAGCGUGGGGAGCGAACGGG
rnacentral:ncRNA from 2 species